rnacentral:rRNA from 1 species
AUUGAACGCUGGCGGCAUGCCUUACACAUGCAAGUCGAACGGUAACAGGUCUUCGGAUGCUGACGAGUGGCGAACGGGUGAGUAAUACAUCGGAACGUGCCCGAUCGUGGGGGAUAACGGGGCGAAAGCUUUGCUAAUACCGCAUACGAUCUACGGAUGAAAGCGGGGGAUCUUCGGACCUCGCGCGGACGGAGCGGCCGAUGGCAGAUUAGGUAGUUGGUGGGAUAAAAGCUUACCAAGCCGACGAUCUGUAGCUGGUCUGAGAGGAUGAUCGGCCACACUGGGACUGAGACACGGCCCAGACUCCUACGGGAGGCAGCAGUGGGGAAUUUUGGACAAUGGGCGAAAGCCUGAUCCAGCCAUGCCGCGUGCAGGAUGAAGGCCUUCGGGUUGUAAACUGCUUUUGUACGGAACGAAAAGCCUCUUUCUAAUAAAGAGAGGUCAUGACGGUACCGUAAGAAUAAGCACCGGCUAACUACGUG